rnacentral:rRNA from 1 species
UUCUGUGGUGAUGGCAGUGUUAUGUUGGUGUUCAUAUCAUGUGAGUGCAUAGUCUGUCAGCUUGGUUAGUACUUGGAUGGGAGACCACCUGGGAAUACUGGGUACUGUAGACU